UGAUUUGAUUAAAAAUAAAAAAAAGUGGAACGGUAAUAAAUAAAUAAGCCAAAGUGUGCUCUUUACUGCUUAUUUGGCCAGCAGUGAGACAAAAUGCUAAAAACUGUAGUGGUGGCUGUAGUGUUGAUUCAAAAUCUCAACGCCCAAAUUCCCAACGGACUCCAAAUUGCUUGCAAUGCUGCAGAAGCUAUCCAGAGAGAUAUUUCACGCAUGAUGUCGUUUCUGACUUUGAACACAGAGGAUUUUGAAAGAUACCUCUCAAAUGUGACAAAUUAUGUAAAUUCCAAUUUCGAGAGGAUGGUUGUGCGCGCCUUUAGGAUAGCAGGACGAUUAUUUUUUCCUUUUCGUUCGUUAGCGACAUCAAGAUCAAAAAGAGAAAUUCCUCAAGAUGACGGUCUUAGAAAAAACAGAGAGCAAAGUGAUACAUUGCUGUUUCGUAAACUAAUCAAUCAAAACUAGAAGCUGCACUUGUGGAACAUACAGGAAAUAAGUUUAUUUAUUUCAUUGUAUAAAAAAUAAAUAAAGUUGUUGGUUGAAACA